UGAAAACCUCUUGGAUUUCUAUGGGGUUGGGAUCAUGUUCCACCAAUCCCUUACAGAAGUUCGAGAGGACCCCAGCUCCUUACAUGCCACAGCAUUUGGAAUAUAGGGCUUAAGACAAUCACUAUCCUGACUUGCACCUGGCUUCUGAGGUUUGUGCAAAUGGAAACUGAUGACUCAGAAGGAUUGUUCUGGGACUGGCUCAUUAGACUCUACAGAAAAUACCACAAUGGCUUUUCCAGAGAGGACAAAUGUGAUUCCCUGAAUAAACACGCUGUACUAACUGGGUGUUUCCAACUAUUUCUUGUCAUUGUUCAGCUGUUUCUCUAAUUUCUGCAGCCAGGAGAAAGAACACAUGCAUUAAGGGUGAUCUCAACUCUGUUGUCAUUUAUUCAUCCCUACAGUUUACCACAUCUGACAGUAUAGUCCAAGGUGUGUUGUGAGACCCUGGUGUGAAAUGCAUUCACUAUCUGUCAGCUCUUGACCGUAGUACCCCAAAGUACUACUCGGUCAGGUGUUGACCAUAGGAACCCAGAAGAAAACCAGGCAGAUCUGUCUCCGAGGGUGCUGGCGGGAACUUUUGCACCAUGCAAAGAGACAGCAUCGGUACUGCUUCAAGGCUUUUCCUGUGGCAGCAGGAUAGAAGAGAGGGAGUCAAGAUUCCUUCUCUGUCAUGCUUCUUGUCACAUCUCUUCUCACCUGGUGCCCCAAGAGGUGUGAGCAGAGACAGGCUGCAUGUGAACUGGGUUGCCUCGCUUUCUCCUCUGAUGUGAGCGUCUUUGCAGGAGCUGAUCCCUGAGCAAAGUUCAUUGGAGGGGGGUGAACAGUAUCAUAGCACUGUGACUAGGGCAAAAAGGCACUACUGAUCCCAGAUGUUUAAAAAUUGCAGAAGCUAGAAGAAUAACAAAACUAGCUAGAAAAAACAC